GGGUGCUGAGAAAAUUUUGUCAAUGAAUGAAUCAGGAGAACUGCAAGACCUCUUAACCAAAAUUGAGAGAGUGCAGCAUCCACACGAGUGUCGUUCCUGUGGAGGUUUUGGCUUUCUUCCGUGCUCCGUGUGCCAUGGGAGCAAGAUGUCAGUAUUUCGAAAUUGCUUUACAGACUCUUUCAAGGCCUUGAAGUGUACAGCUUGCAAUGAGAAUGGUCUUCAGCGUUGUAAGAACUGUGCUGGUUAAUUGGGGCUUCUACCCUGAAAAGCCUCAUUUUAUGAAUUAAAGGCUAUAAUUUGGUUUAUACUUUUUUUUAAAAAAACAAAGUUAUGUUUUGGAUUAAUCAAUAAAGUUUGUAUAUUAUAA